rnacentral:snRNA from 1 species
GCACUCAGGAGGCAGAGGCCAGUGGAUCUCUGAGAGCUCAAGGCCAGCCUGGUCUUAAAAGUUAGUUCCAGCACAAGGCUUAGAGUUUGCACACCAGAUGUGCUAAUCCCCAAGGUUUCCCCAAAUAUGGAAAACUCAACUGCAAAAUCUGUGGUAGUGGGGUACUGCAUAUAUUCACCUCUCCC